rnacentral:rRNA from 1 species
UUCCUACGGGAGGCAGCAGUGAGGAAUAUUGGUCAAUGGGCGGGAGCCUGAACCAGCCAAGUCGCGUGAAGGAAGAAGGUACUUAGGAUUGUAAACUUCUUUUGUCGGGGAACAAAGGCGGAGACGCGUCUCCGGAUGAGUGUACCCGAAGAAAAAGCAUCGGCUAACUCCGUGCCAGCAGCCGCGGUAAUACGGAGGAUGCGAGCGUUAUCCGGAUUUAUUGGGUUUAAAGGGAGCGCAGGCGGGAGAUCAAGGCAGCGGUAAAAUGGCGGGGCGCAACCCCGGCCGGGCGU